UACGUAGGGUGCAAGCGUUGUCCGGAAUUAUUGGGCGUAAAGAGCGUGUAGGCGGUUUGGUAGGUCCGCUGUGAAAACUCGAGGCUCAACCUCGAGACGCCGGUGGAAACCAUCAGACUAGAGUCCGGAAGAGGAGAGUGGAAUUCCUGGUGUAGCGGUGAAAUGCGCAGAUAUCAGGAGGAACACCAAUGGCGAAGGCAGCACUCUGGGACGGUACUGACGCUGAGACGCGAAAGCGUGGGGAGCAAACAGG
rnacentral:rRNA from 1 species